UGGGGAAUAUUGGACAAUGGGGGAAACCCUGAUCCAGCCAUGCCGCGUGUGUGAAGAAGGCCUUAUGGUUGUAAAGCACUUUAAGCGAGGAGGAGGCUACUGAGACUAAUACUCUUGGAUAGUGGACGUUACUCGCAGAAUAAGCACCGGCUAACUCUGUGCCAGCAGCCGCGGUAAUACAGAGGGUGCGAGCGUUAAUAGGAUUUACUGGGCGUAAAGCGUGCGUAGGCGGCUUUUUAAGUCGGAUGUGAAAUCCCCGAGCUUAACUUGGGAAUUGCAUUCGAUACUGGGAAGCUAGAGUAUGGGAGAGGAUGGUGGAAUUCCAGGUGUAGCGGUGAAAUGCGUAGAGAUCUGGAGGAAUACCGAUGGCGAAGGCAGCCAUCUGGCCUAAUACUGACGCUGAGGUACGAAAGCAUGGGGAGCAAAACAGGAUUAGAUACCCUGGUAGUCCAUGCCGUAAAACGAUGUCUACUAGCCGUUGGGGCCUUUGAGGCUUUAGUGNGCAGCUAACGCGAUAAGUAGACCGCCUGGGGAGUACGGUC
rnacentral:rRNA from 1 species